rnacentral:rRNA from 1 species
GAUGAACGCUAGCUAUAGGCUUAACACAUGCAAGUCGAGGGGCAGCGAAUAGAUAGCUUGCUAUUUAUGUCGGCGACCGGCGCACGGGUGAGUAACGCGUAUCCAACCUGCCCAUAACUAAGGGAUAACCCAGCGAAAGUUGGACUAAUACCUUAUGUAUUCGUUUGAUCUCAUGAGAUUACGAAUAAAGAUUUAUCGGUUAUGGAUGGGGAUGCGUCUGAUUAGCUUGUUGGCGGGGUAACGGCCCACCAAGGCAACGAUCAGUAGGGGUUCUGAGAGGAAGGUCCCCCACAUUGGAACUGAGACACGGUCCAAACUCCUACGGGAGGCAGCAGUGAGGAAUAUUGGUCAAUGGACGCAAGUCUGAACCAGCCAAGUAGCGUGCAGGAUGACGGCCCUAUGGGUUGUAAACUGCUUUUAUGCGGGGAUAAAGGAUCCACGUGUGGAUUUUUGCAGGUACCGCAUGAAUAAGGACCGGCUAAUUCCGUGCCAGCCGCCGCGGUAAAAGGG